GCCUGGGUAGCUCAAUCGGUAGAGCGUGUGACUCUUAAUCUCAAGGUCGCGGGUUCGAGCCCCGCCUCGGGCUC
rnacentral:tRNA from 2 species